UAGCGGAGGAAAAGAAACCAACAGGGAUUGCCCUAGUAACGGCGAGUGAAGCGGCAACAGCUCAAAUUUGAAAUCUGGCGUCUUCGGCGUCCGAGUUGUAAUUUGCAGAGGGCGCUUUGGCAUUGGCAGCGGUCCAAGUUCCUUGGAACAGGACGUCACAGAGGGUGAGAAUCCCGUACGUGGUCGCUAGCCUUUACCGUGUAAAGCCCCUUCGACGAGUCGAGUUGUUUGGGAAUGCAGCUCUAAAUGGGAGGUAAAUUUCUUCUAAAGCUAAAUACUGGCCAGAGACCGAUAGCGCACAAGUAGAGUGAUCGAAAGAUGAAAAGCACUUUGGAAAGAGAGUUAAAAAGCACGUGAAAUUGUUGAAAGGGAAGCGCUUGCAGCCAGACUUGCCUGUAGUUGCUCAUCCGGGUUUUUACCCGGUGCACUCUUCUAUAGGCAGGCCAGCAUCAGUUUGGGCGGUUGGAUAAAGGUCUCUGUCAUGUACCUCUCUUCGGGGAGAACUUAUAGGGGAGACGACAUGCAACCAGCCUGGACUGAGGUCCGCGCAUCUGCUAGGAUGCUGGCGUAAUGGCUGUAAGCGGCCCGUCUUGA
rnacentral:rRNA from 1 species